GGGUAUGUAACCGAUCUAACCGGGAGCGCGUUUGAAUGGCAUUCAAAAGGUCGUCGGUUCGAUCCCGAUUGUCUCCACCA
rnacentral:tRNA from 1 species